rnacentral:rRNA from 1 species
UACGUAGGGGGCGAGCGUUGUCCGGAUUUAUUGGGCGUAAAGAGCGUGUAGGCGGCCAGGUAGGUCUGCUGUGAAAACUCGAGGCUCAACCUCGAGACGUCGGCGGAAACCAUCUGGCUAGAGUCCGGAAGAGGAGAGUGGAAUUCCUGGUGUAGCGGUGAAAUGCGCAGAUAUCAGGAAGAACACCCGUGGCGAAGGCGGCUCUCUGGGACGGUACUGACGCUGAGACGCGAAAGCGUGGGGAGCGAAC